AUUGAACGCUGGCGGCAGGCUUAACACAUGCAAGUCGAACGAGUGGCGGACGGGUGAGUAAUGCUUGGGAAUCUGGCUUAUGGAGGGGGAUAACUACGGGAAACUGUAGCUAAUACCGCGUACCAUAGGAUGAGCCCAAGUGGGAUUAGGUAGUUGGUGAGGUAAAGGCUCACCAAGCGGACGAUCUCUAGCUGGUCUGAGAGGAUGACCAGACACACUGGGACUGGGUCACGGCCCAAACUCCUUCGGGAGGCAGCCGUGGGGGACUUUGGGAAAAGGGGGGAACCUUAAUGAGCCAUGCCGGGGGGAUGAAAGAAGCCUUCGGGUUGGAAAGCUCUGUAAGCGGGGCGACGGUACCGGAAUAGAAAGCCACGGCUAACUACGUGCCAGCAGCCGCGGUAAUAC
rnacentral:rRNA from 1 species